CUUGUCUGUCAUCUGUAGGAAAACCAUGGAGUGAAUUUUUACCAGUCACUUACUCAGCAGCAGAACCAGCAAUGGAUUCCUGACCAGUGGUUUGUUAGAAACCCAUGAGAACACCCAGGAUGGGGCCUCACCCAGAUGUCAGGAUUACCAAGCAAAACAGGCAUGCGGCUUCCUGACCAGCCAGGGAGGAAAGCUGGGAGGCACGAUGGGCCACGUGGACCCCCGCCGGCACUAACAGGAGCAGCAGAGACUACGACGUAACAUGAACAAAGGUCCUCCUGAUGAAUGUCUUCCAACAACUUCUCAGAGACGACGGCCUGAAGAACUUUGGGAGCCCAGUGCACACGGGGCGUGUCGGGAGCUGGAUACGAAUGCCUCCGUGCUUAGCUGCAGAGCCUCCAGUGUGCCAUGCAGCAUUUUUUAAGAAAAUGAAGAAUUGGUCAAGAAAGCUUGCAUUCAAGCAAACCAUGAAAAUCGAUAUUUUAUGUAGCAUUCCUCCCACAUUUGAAUACUUUUCAUUGUUGAGCAAUAAACUCUGUUCUCUCUAAAGAGCAUAAAAUGAA